rnacentral:rRNA from 1 species
UACAGAGGUCUCAAGCGUUGUUCGGAUUCAUUGGGCGUAAAGGGUGCGUAGGCGGCGCGGUAAGUCGGGUGUGAAAUCUCGGAGCUUAACUCCGAAACUGCAUUCGAUACUGCCGUGCUUGAGGACUGGAGAGGAGACUGGAAUUUACGGUGUAGCGGUGAGAUGCGUAGAUAUCGUAAGGAAGACCAGUGGCGAAGGCGGGUCUCUGGACAGUUCCUGACGCUGAGGCACGAAGGUCAGGGGAGCAAACGGG